rnacentral:lncRNA from 10 species
UCGGAAUGCGGAGCCGCUCGUCUCCCGUCUUUUUUAAGGAAACUGAAGCUGAGCCUGAAGGAAUUACAGAACUUGGAGUAAAUGCUUCUUCAAAAUACGAGUUUUGGUCGGGCGCGGUGGCUCACCCCUGUAAUCCCAGCACUUUGGGAGGCCAAGGCGGGCGGAUCACGAGGUCAGGAGGUAGAGACCAUCCUGGCCAACAUGGUGAAACCCGUCUCUACUAAAAAUAGAAAAAUUAGCUGGGCGUGGUGGCGCGUGCCUGUAAUCCCAGCUACUCGGGAGGCUGACACAGAAUCACUUGAACCAGGGAGUCGGAGGUUGCAGUGAGCCGAGAUCGUGCCACUGCACUCCAGCCUGGCGACAGAGCUGGACUCCGUCUCAAAAAGAAGUUUUUUCUCUUUAAAAAUAAAAAAGCGGGGAGGGGGGCAUUAAAAUUAGAAAGAUUGUGUUCAAGUUUCUUUUGUUUUUU